CCUACGGGCGGCAGCAGUGAGGAAUAUUGGUCAAUGGACGAGAGUCUGAACCAGCCAAGUAGCGUGAAGGAUGACUGCCCUAUGGGUUGUAAACUUCUUUUAUAUGGGAAUAAAAUGUUCCACGUGUGGGAUUUUGUAUGUACCAUAUGAAUAAGGAUCGGCUAACUCCGUGCCAGCAGCCGCGGUAAUACGGAGGAUCCGAGCGUUAUCCGGAUUUAUUGGGUUUAAAGGGAGCGUAGGUGGAUUGUUAAGUCAGUUGUGAAAGUUUGCGGCUCAACCGUAAAAUUGUAGUUGAAACUGGCAGUCUUGAGUACAGUAGAGGUGGGCGGAAUUCGUGGUGUAGCGGUGAAAUGCUUAGAUAUCACGAAGAACUCCGAUUGCGAAGGCAGUUCACUGGACUGCAACUGACACUGAGGCUCGAAAGUGUGGGUAUCAAACAGGAUUAGAUACCCGAGUAGUC
rnacentral:rRNA from 1 species